GAGGGACUCUUGCCGUAAAACCCCCAAUUUUCCAAAGGUUGACCUCGGAUCAGGUAGGAAUACCCGCUGAACUUAAGCAUAUCAAUAAGCGGAGGAA
rnacentral:rRNA from 1 species